UACGUAGGGUGCGAGCGUUGUCCGGAAUUAUUGGGCGUAAAGGGCUCGUAGGCGGUUUGUCGCGUCGGGAGUGAAAUCCACUGGCUUAACUGGUGGCUUGCUUUCGAUACGGGCAGACUGGAGGUAUGCAGGGGGAGAACGGAAUUCCUGGUGUAGCGGUGAAAUGCGCAGAUAUCAGGAGGAACACCGGUGGCGAAGGCGGUUCUCUGGGCAUGUCCUGACGCUGAGGAGCGAAAGUGUGGGGAGCGAACAGG
rnacentral:rRNA from 1 species